rnacentral:misc_RNA from 1 species
CAACCAAAAGGAAGUUGUGCCUGCUCUUCCAACCCAAACUGCUCCUCCCAUCCUACUGCUACCGCCAUCACUAACUAAAGCUUCUCAAAGUAGCUAGUGUAACUUAAAACACCAGCACAACUCAUAAACAGGCUCUUAUGCCAUGCCAGACUGAAAACCUUCAAAUGGAUCCUGAUGACAGCAAUCGUACCUACAGCAACCUCCUGAACCAUUUC